rnacentral:rRNA from 1 species
UACGGAGGAUGCAAGCGUUAUCCGGAAUGAUUGGGCGUAAAGGGUCCGCAGGUGGCAUUGUAUGUCUGCUGUUAAAGAGUUUGGCUCAACCAAAUAAAAGCAGUGGAAACUACAAAGCUAGAGUACGUUCGGGGCAGAGGGAAUUCCUGGUGUAGCGGUGAAAUGCGUAGAGAUCAGGAAGAACACCGGUGGCGAAAGCGCUCUGCUAGGCCUGUACUGACACUGAGGGACGAAAGCUAGGGGAGCGAAUGGG